GCGUCUGUAGCUCAGCGGAUAGAGCGAUCCUUUGACUAAGGGAGAGGUCGUGGGUUCGAAUCCCGCCAGGCGUG
rnacentral:tRNA from 1 species